AACGUAGGAGGCGAGCGUUAUCCGGAUUUAUUGGGCGUAAAGCGCAUGCAGGUGGUUUGACAAGUCGGAUGUGAAAGCCCCUGGCUUAACUGGGGGAGUGCGUUCGAAACUGUCAGACUGGAGGCCGGAAGAGGAAAGCGGAAUUCCCGGUGUAGUGGUGGAAUGCGUAGAUAUCAGGAGGAACAUCGGUGGCGAAGGCGGCUUCCUGGACCGAAACUGACGUUGAGACACGAAAGCGUGGGGAGCAAAC
rnacentral:rRNA from 1 species